rnacentral:lncRNA from 1 species
GAGGGCUAGGUACCGGAUACGGCUCCACUGGCCGUAGGACCUUGGGAUGCUGCCGGAGAAGAAAUUGCCGCCGAGGUGGACGUGGACGAGGUCGGUGAGGUUGGGGAGCGCUGCCGGCAGCGGACCGGUGAGGUUGUUAUUGUAGAGGUCGAGAACGCGAAGGCUCUUGAGCGACGCGAUGAUCUCGUCGGGGAAGGCGGUGGAGUUGAGGAUGUUGUUGGAGAGGUUGAGC